rnacentral:miRNA from 1 species
UCGUCCUGUCGGCGUCAAGUCGUAGCA